rnacentral:rRNA from 1 species
CCAAAACCUAGCCCAUCCUACCCGAUUGACUAACCAACUUACCCUACGGAAAAACCAUUUAUUAUCUAGGAAGGGGAUGGAAAACAUUGGAGUUAAACCCCGUCCGGAGGGACCGUGAAUUUUAUGGAACAUCUUUGCACAAAAGAAAUUUUAGUCCAACCUGAACCACAAAUAGUCAACAUAACAUCCAUUUGGUUUCAGCGUAAUUCAAUUAAGGUACAGCCUAUUUGAACCAGGAUCCACCUAGGCCAGUGGAUAAGAUCACCCUAGUCCACAACCAAGUCGGCCUAAAAGCAGCCAUCUUUAAAAAUGCGUCAAAGCUUAGUUGUUUCACUGCUUAAUAACCAAAUUUUUAUCUUAAUCCCCAAACAAUACUGAGUAAUUCUAUAUCACUAUAGAAAAUUUUAUGUUAAACCUAGUAACAAGAAGACGAACCCUUCUCUUAAAUGCAAGUGUAAAUCAGAAAGGAUAAGCCACUGAUAUUUAGCAUCUCUGAGUCUAUAGUAGCAACCAACCAAGAAAACCCUACUCUUACCUAUGUUAACCUAACACAAGAGCAUUACAAGAAAGAUUAAAAGAAAAAGAAGGAACUCGGCAAAUCUUAACCCCGCCUGUUUACCAAAAACAUCGCCUCUUGAACCCCAUAAGAGGUCCAGCCUGCCCAGUGACCCUGUUCAACGGCCGCGGUAUCCUAACCGUGCGAAGGUAGCGUAAUCACUUGUUCUUUAAAUGUGGACUAGUAUGAAUGGCAUCACGAAGGUUAUACUGUCUCCUUUUUCUAAUCAGUGAAACUAAUCUCCCCGUGAAGAAGCGAGGAUAAAAAUAUAAGACGAGAAGACCCUAUGGAGCUUUAAACAAAGUAGCACUCGCCACAUAAAUGAAAAAUUCCAGAAUCACCAUCUUCCUCAGGCAAUCUGACUACACGUUUUUGGUUGGGGUGACCGCGGAGUAUAACACAACCUCCAUGUUGAAAGAAAGCUUUCUAAACUAAGAGCUACACCUCUAAGUAUCAAAAGAUUGACAUCCAUUGACCCAAUAAAUUUGAACAACGAACCAAGUUACCCUAGGGAUAACAGCGCAAUCCACUUCAAGAGCUCCUAUCGACAAGUGGGUUUACGACCUCGAUGUUGGAUCAGGGUCUCCCAGUGGUGCAGCCGCUACUAAAGGUUCGUUUGUCAACGAUAAAACCCCCACCGUUC